CUUUGCAGGUAAGAAAUAGUAAUUCUGCCCAACACAGUUAUCACCCAGAACAAUGCCUACCACAUAGAAAUAAUUUAGGAGUCAAGGUUCUUAAAGAUCGGUGUUACCUCCAUGCUUACAUGCAUCAGAAAUGAUUAUCAGUUAUUGCAAAGUGAUACAUUUCAUGCACGGCUUUUAUUGGAUGACAUGAAAAGAAAUCUUCAGAGUUUAGAGUAAAACUUACAGCUUCUAAUUAUAGACAUAUUUACCCACUUCUAGUGAAAGAAGUCAAACAUGAGUCCAGUGAAAAGAAUUGUGGCACCGUGAAAAAAGUAAAGUCUCAAUUCCAUAGCCAUCCUAGCCUCACUUUCUAUUUCUGAGCAUGGUUUUUCAAACUCUCUGGGCCUCAUCCUCUUCAUCUUUAAUAUUAUUAAUGUGUGUGAUGACAUGCUAAGACUCUUUCAAUCCUAAGUCUAUGAUCUGCUAUUACACUAUUCUUAAGUAUUUUCCUUGAGCUACUGCAUCCACAAAGAAUCAGUAUCACAAGUUAGAGGUAAUUUGGAAAAGAACCAAUCGUCCUACAAGGAUUUCUUGAGUAUCUAUCACAUACCAGGUACUGUGCUGGGCAUCUGAAAUUCAGAGAAAAAGAAACAAGGGACACUAUCUCACCUCAAUGAGAUAACAGUCCAACAAGGAAGCGCCAAGCAAGUAACCAUACAGCACAGAGGUGGACACCGAAAGAGGGGCACUCAGAAGCCUGAGAGGCAGAGGCAGUGGUGAGGGGGCUUCUGAAAAUCAGGAAGGCUCUGCUAGGUUGGAGUAGGUGACAACUGACUUUAGAUUUGGAUGAUAAAUACGAUUUGAGUGCUCAGAAAGAGCUGGAGGAGGUGCUAUAUGUGGCAAAAGAUAAGCACAUUUUAAACUGCCUUAUACUUUUAAACAAAUAAUAAUAAAUCAGCAUUUACUGUAAUAAAAAUACUUUAUCAGGCCAUCUCACACAGUUCCCAAAGCUUAUGAGGAAAAAUUUAAGUCAAUUUCCUUUUAAUAAAUAUUAUUUAACGACUGGAACAUUUAGAGAAACAUACAUAAGCAGGCCGUGGCAGCACGUCACUCAGGGACAAUAAUCUAACAGGGAAUUUCAGACAACCUAGCCUAGACUAAAUGCUGGGCAGCACCUGGCAGACAAGGUGGCAAAGCCCCUAUAAAUAGUGAUGAUUCACUAACAUGACAUAAAUCAAGAUUUUAACUCACCAAAAACUAACAUUUUGAUUUAAAAACACAAAUCAGUGCCAUUAAAAUUCAUCAGCGGCCCCUAGCACAUGAGUAAUGAGAUCAUAUCAACUUAUAUCAUGUAACUAAAAGGAAAAGGUGGUUUUCUAAAUGGUAAUUCAGAUUGGACAAAUAACACACUGUAUCAAGUUUUGUAGCUCUAGGCCAUAUUUUGCUAAACACAAAGGUACAUUAUGCAUGACUAAAGAAAACAGUGAAAAUCAGAGCAAUUAAUUUCCCAGCUAUGUUUCCCAUAAAAAGACAUCACUACUAUGAUCUGCUUAUAACACAAACUUUUUUGCAUUGCACAAUGAUCUAAGUGUGUAAUAACUUACAUAUUUCACUAAGAUGUAACAUCCUUCAAAACAUCCUUAUAAUGAAAGUUUUCCAAAAACAUUAUUGAUCACCGGCAUGUCUCAUGUUUUAAAAUUACUGACGAAUCCUUUACUAUUUUCUUUACAGCUAGAAAUAAUUCUUCUUGAUCACUAGAGUGUAAAGGGGUAUAAAGUACAAAGACUGAAUAUUUUCUUAAAUACUAACAUCCCAGUUGACACAGGACAUUUCCCAUAACUUGCCCAAAACAAUAAUUAGGAGAGUUGUCACUGGAAUCCUAAAAAUAUAUAACUCAAGAACCUUUUCUCAGGUGGCUCUGCUUUGCUGCAGGUAAUGGAGAAGCACUGGAGAUUUGUAAGCCACGGAGUCAAAUGGUGGACUGGGAUUUUCAGGAGAUCAUUUAGAGAGCAAGAUCUUACCAAAUCCUUUAGUCAUGGUCUAUUUCGUUGCACUCAUAUGGUUGUUACUGCGAAGGUGAAGAACUAAUGACUGCAGCAGGAAAAAGAAUUGGAUGUGUCAUGAAUUAUGGCCCUGCUUAUACUUCUACUUCAACCGUAAUCAUUUGUUUAAACAAAAAGUUCUGCAUUUGAAUUGUCACAAUUGUGUGUGUGUUAUAAACAUCUCAUAUUUCAUCCAGGCUCAGCCAACACUUGCCUUUAUUAAUGCUCAUAAUCAAGAAAUAAAAUCUCAUACUAACCAAAAAUUAUCCUUCAUAAGAGAAUAUAAACAGAAGUCUGGUUCAUAAACUUACUAAUUAACACCUCUAUUCUCAUGUAUCAACUAACAUUUUUGUUUCGUCUUAAAAUAAAUAAAACUUUAUGACAUGCUAAUAAUUUAUUUAAAAUUUUAUCUUUCAAAGGCUUAUCUUCUCUUAAUGUUCGACUUAGGUUUUUUUAUACUAUUGAUUUUGCCUUUAGAAAAU
rnacentral:lncRNA from 1 species